rnacentral:rRNA from 1 species
UCCAGACUCCUACGGGAGGCAGCAGUGAGGAAUAUUGGUCAAUGGCCGGGAGGCUGAACCAGCCAAGUCGCGUGAGGGAAGACGGCCCUACGGGUUGUAAACCUCUUUUGUCAGGGAGCAAGGUGCAGGUCGGGACCUGCUGUGAGAGUACCUGAAGAAAAAGCAUCGGCUAACUCCGUGCCAGCAGCCGCGGUAAUACGGAGGAUGCGAGCGUUAUCCGGAUUUAUUGGGUUUAAAGGGUGCGCAGGCGGAGGCACAAGUCAGGGGAAAAACCGCGGGGCCCACCCCCGCUCCGCCGUUGAAACUGUGUCCCUUGAGUGCGCGAAGGGUAGGCGGAAUGCGUGGUGUAGCGGUGAAAUGCAUAGAUAUCACGCAGAACCCCGAUUGCGAAGGCAGCAUGCCGGCUUCCUACUGACGCUGAAGCACGAAAGCGUGGGGAUCGAACAGGAUUAGAUACCCUCGUA